rnacentral:lncRNA from 7 species
AUGCUUUCUUUCUCAUACUGAAGUUCUUCUCACUUCUGUAAUAACUUUCUCUGAGGUCAUGCUAGGAUAAAUACCGAGAACUGCAAAUGCACAAAAAAAAAGAGAAGCUGGGCUACAUAACAACAAAAUAUGAGCAGCCUUUUUGCUGAAGUGCUAUUUAAGAACCUCAGUCCAAAAUCUUGGAGACAAAGAGCCACCUGGAGAAGGUGUGGUCACCUGUGCUUUUGGUGGGGGCCUUAUAAAGGAUGAUGAGCUACGUCAUAAUGCAGACUUCACAGAACGUUCCAGCCUGCUGCUGAUUCAGACAGGCCAUAUCCUGUGCCCCUGCUGACCACUGAACGGCCUCACAGCUGGUCCAAAGGCAUUUUCCUAUGGUGGGUUAUGACAUUUCACAUGGAUUUCUCUUCCUGUGUUGCACACGUGCUCUGGAAGGAAGACUCAGCCAUGCAGACACAGCGCAGCAGCCUGCAGUCAAUGUGCUCACCCAUGCCCAGCAGCCAGGGAAAAUCCAAGCAUGUUUACAAUGCCACUUACAGGGGGUUGGUGAAGACACAGAUGUAUGGUGCUGCUCCCAAGUGUACUGUGGCUGAUUAUUUAUCAAUAAAUGUCUUCCUCACCGUGAUGAGGCUCACUAUAGAAGGAAUCAUAGAAUAGCCUGGGUUGAAAAGGACCACAGUGCUCAUCCAGUUCCAACCCCCUGCUAUGUGCAGGGUCGCCAACCAGCAGCCCAGGGACCAGACUGAUCAUCAAUCCUCAUGCUGGAAUAUUUGAAAUAAACAUUUAAUGUUAAAAU